rnacentral:rRNA from 1 species
CCCCUAGAUGUUCUGGGCCGCACGCGCGCUACACUGAACAGUUCAACAAGUCUUAACCUUGGCCGAUAGGUCUGGGUAAUCUUUGAACGCUGUUCGUGAUUGGGAUAGACCUUUGCAAUUAUGGGUCUUCAACGAGGAAUUCCUAGUAAACGCAAGUCAUCAGCUUGUAUUGAUUACGUCCCUGCCCUUUGUACACACCGCCCGUCGCACCUACCGAUUGAAUGGUCCGGUGAAAUCUCGGGACGGCGGCUUGGUCGCUUGCGUCCGACUGCUGAAACUUGAUUAAACCAUAUCAUUUAGAGGAAGGUGAANUCGUANCA